GAUGAACGCUGGCGGCGUGCCUGAUACAUGCAAGUCGAGCGAACAGACGAGGAGCUUGCUCCUUCGACGUUAGCGGCGGACGGGUGAGUAACACGUAGGUAACCUACCUAUAAGACUGGGAUAACUUCGGGAAACCGGAGCUAAUACCGGAUAAUAUUUCGAACCGCAUGGUUCGAUAGUGAAAGAUGGCUUUGCUAUCACUUAUAGAUGGACCUGCGCCGUAUUAGCUAGUUGGUAAGGUAACGGCUUACCAAGGCAACGAUACGUAGCCGACCUGAGAGGGUGAUCGGCCACACUGGAACUGAGACACGGUCCAGACUCCUACGGGAGGCAGCAGUAGGGAAUCUUCCGCAAUGGGCGAAAGCCUGACGGAGCAACGCCGCGUGAGUGAUGAAGGUCUUCGGAUCGUAAAACUCUGUUAUUAGGGAAGAACAAACGUGUAAGUAACUGUGCACGUCUUGACGGUACCUAAUCAGAAAGCCACGGCUAACUACGUG
rnacentral:rRNA from 1 species